rnacentral:rRNA from 1 species
AUGGGGCUGUACUACUGCGGCCUGCGGGUCACCAGCGCCGCCUACGCCGUCAACUUCCUCAACCUCAUCCCCGUCGCCACCUUCAUCAUCGCCGUCGCGCUCCGGGCCGAGCGCCUCUCCCUCGCCGCCUGGGCCAGCAGGAUGAAGCUCCUCGGAGCUGUCGUGGGCGUCGCCGGCACCAUGGUCGUCAGCCUCUGCAAGGGCACCCAUCUCCUGCUGCCGCACCUCCGACAGUCCUUCCACGCCAACAACCCCCACGUCGCCUCGCCCCACGGCGGCCGCGACAUGGCCAUCGGCACGCUUUUCCUGUGCGGGAGCUGCGUCAGCUACGCGCUCUGGUUCGUCGUGCAGGCCAAGGUCGCCAAGGUGUUCCCGUCCCGGUACUGGGCCACGGUGCUCACGUGCGCCGCGGGUAGCAUUCAGUCUGUCGUGGCCGCGGCCGUGGCGGUCGUCCUCGCCCCCGCCGGCAACGGACAUGGAUGGGCGAGCACGUGGACGCUGCGCUGGGACCUGCAGCUGGCCACGGUGGUCUACUCCGGGGUGUUCAACACGGGCGUCACGUUCGUUCUCGUGUCGUGGGCGGUGGAGCGCCGCGGCCCAGUGUACCCUCCCAUGUUCAACUCCCUGUCGCUCGUCGCCACCACCGCCGUUGACGCCGUCGUGCUCGGAACCGACGUCUACCUUGGCGGCGUGCUGGGAGCGGCGCUCGUCGUCGUCGGCCUCUAUGCGUUUCUGUGGGGCAAAAGCAAGGAGCUCGCGGCCGCCAAAGCGGUCAACGCCGAGCAGGAGCUGCGGUGUGCAGGAGACGCCGACGAUGGCAUUGCCUAG